CCUAUCAGCCUCACCUCAGAUCCAUUCCCCUUUCUUCUCCCAAAAAAAAAAUCCAUUCCCCUUUCUCCCUUCCCUCGCGGCAAGCGCGGACCCUGCCACUGCCGGCCGGCCGUGGACGGGUGACUGCAAGGUGCCCCGUGCCGCGCGACCGCAAGCAGACCUCCGCAGCUUGGGUGCUCGCUGCGGCAUCCUCGAAUCAGGCGGUUCUGCGAUUGAGGCGGCGGCGGCCGCUGCAACCGAGCUCCGCAUCGGGCCCUGCGCACCACAACGACGCGGCCGAUGCUGGCUUUGCUGCGACGCUCCUGUACCUGGCAGGUGAAGUGCAGGGCGAGCUGGAGCUGCCACUCACGGCCGUGCGGCGUUACUCCCAGGGCGAGCAGAUGCGACCCCUAGCCUGCAGCUCGUGCUUGUGCUCAUUCCGCAUCCUUGGCCUUUUCAGCCCUCCUCAGGUAAGCUGUCAUGCGUCUCUCUCUACUUGAUUUCUUUAUAUGACUAGGCUAUUUGUAAAAUUUGGCCAAUCUCGGAUCUAAUCAUUGCCCGUUGAUUGUGUUGUGACCUGCGCUGGUGAUUGAGGCAGUAGGUACAAAGCACACUGCACUUAUGGAUCUGUUUACCAUUGCCUAAUCUAUUACUGAACUUAUGCUUUCCAUGUUCUAAUCACUAGGUAUCUAGUGUACGUAGGAGGUGUAGGGAUGAUAGACAUGACAGCCUAGCUAUAUCAGCACAGGUGAAUCAAUCUUUUUAUUGGCAAGGUAAUAACAAACAAUCCCCUGUGCUUGAUCUGCGAGACAUUGGCUAUAAAAAAUAGUUCAUUUGCUGUUAGCUUUGCUAGUACCUGUGCUGUUAGCAUUGCUUAAUCUGCUACUUUUCUUGCACACGACUUGAGCAAGCUUUGGUUGAUAGCAGAGGUGAAUUAAUAGCAUGCUGUCACGAGGUCAGACAUAAUGUUUUUUUGGUAUGUCCUAAAAGUUGCCUUUCAAGUUGCAGCCCUGAAAUCUACAGCCUUUAGUGGUCAAUAUUUUAUCUGAAAAAAAUAUGUAUUAGUGGUGGAUGUGGUUAGAUUAUCACUAGCAAACACUUUGUUGCACAUUGAUAGGACUCUUACUAGCUGUCUUUUUGGUUGCACUUUGCUCUAAUUAUGUUUAAUUUUUUUUGUGAGCAGACAACAUUUCUAAUGAAAAGGUCUUUGCUGAGCAGCCAGAAGUCCACAUGUUAGUUAGUUGAGAAAAUUGCCAAUUUGACAUCAAAAAAAUUGAACCUUGUCUAUUUAACACCCAAUCUUCAUUUCUUAUCUAUAUGUCUCCAAGACCAUUUUUCUUUGCCAAUUUAACACUACCGUGAUCUUCUGCUAGCCAUUGCCGUUAGAAUCCCGAGUGGCCCACACGUCAGUCUCUCUCCCUUUCUCCUCUCUCUCUGUUGGCGUGGGGCGAGCCGCUGGCGUCGCCGGCGGACGAGCUCUUCUACAAGGGGAAGCUGCUGCCGCUGCACCUCCCGCCGCGCAUCCAGAUGGUGGAGGAGCUCCUCGACGGCCGCGAUGACGGGGCCCCGUGGCGCCUGCCGGGGUCAUCGCCGGCGCCGGCGCCGGAGAGUCCGCCCGCCUCGCGCGCGAGGUGGCGCGGGUGCUUGACGACUGUCGCGCCUCCCUCGCCGUGCACCAAUGGAAGCUACGGGAGCUCGUGGCGAUCUUCACCACCCUUGGAGGCAGCGGCUGCUUCCUCCCCGCCUUCUGCAUUGCCGUCAUGCCGCUCUUCGAGCUCUCUCGCCGGUCCGUGGGAUCCGACCGCAUCGCCUGCUUCAUAGCGGCCGAGCGGGGCAGGGCCGGCGCGGUCGUCGCGGCCGAGCAGGGCGGGCGAGCGCGGAGUGUAGCGGCGGCACACGGGGCAAGCGCGGAAUGGCGAGGGCGCAGGGCAAGCGCACGCCGGCGAGGGCGCGCGGAGCUGCGACGGCGUAGGGCCAGCGCGGAGCCAGAGAGCUCGAGUAGGAGAUGAGCACGAGCUUGAUGGUGUCUCGCGGGAUGAGCUACUUGCCGAACCAGAACAUUUGGGCUUGCCGAACACGGACCUCAUGGUCGCCUCCAGCGCCACCAUGGGCAGGGCGGCUCCGGCCAGUUCCUGCGGCGACGGUGUGUGCGAGCUCCGUCGGCAGCACAGGCCAGCGCGAUGACGCGCAUUCACGGCCGCCCGGGUCAGUUCCAGCGGCGGCGCAGGCCAGCGUGACGGCGCGCACGCACGGCGGCUUCGGCCAGUUCAUGCGGCGACGGCGACGGCGCGUGCGAGCUCUCUCCGGCGAGCUCACGCAGCGACGCGGCGUGUACGAGCGCGCAGGCGGCCGUAGAAACCAGUGGUUGCUUCCCAACGGCGGGCCCCGUCAUCGCGGCCGUUGAGGAGCUCCUCCACCAUCUAGAUGCGCGGCGGGAGGUGCAACGGCAGCAGCUUGCCCUUGUAGAAGAGCUCGUCCGCCGGUGACGCCAGCGGCUCCCCCCACACCAACAGAGAGAGAGGAGAAAGGAAGAGAGACUAACGUGUGGGCCACUCGGGAUUCUAACGGCAAUGGCUAACAGAAGAUCACGGUAGUGUCAAAUUGGCAAAGAAAAAUGGACUUGGAGACAUAUAGAUAAGAAAUGAAGAUUGGGUGUUAAAUAGGCAAGGUUCAAUUUUUCUGAUGUCAAAUUGGUAAUUUUCUCUAGUUAGUUUAGUUGAGGAGGAAAAUUGAUUAAUGAUAUGACAGGGUCCCUGCUUAUGAUAAGGUAGCACCUUUUUUUUGCAGUAUUUGCUUAAUGCAAGAAGAGUGUUCAGAUGAAAUGCAAAAAAAGCGAGAAGGAUCUUGAGAAUUGGAGAAAGCAGGAGUUGCUGUGUAAAAUAGGCUUGCUAUUAGUCUCUAUUUGAUAAUGUAUGAGAAUUUCUGGUAUUUCAAGUUGUUUAGCUGGUUAGUCACUUAGUCUACAAAUUUGUUUAUAAUUUAAUAUUGACAAUGUCCAAUUCAUACAGUUAUAUGAACAAGCCUGAUUUGUAUGUGUAGCAUUCAAUUUGAUUGAUAAUCUUUGGAUAAAUAAUUGCCAUUUGCUUUA